GAUCAUGCACUGCCUUCUCGGUGUGCCCGAUGUGUACUGGAAGGACAAUGCCGACGGUGGGGGUCACGAACCACCACAGCAAGAAAGACCAGGUACGGCGACUGAAGAUCGCUGCGUCUCUCGAUGGAAGGAUGUCAAGAGGAGGCUAAAGCAAUCUAUCGGUGUGAGCUACUUGGUGCUUGGAAAUAAGAAGUGACAGAGCCACACGCUCUUGCUUCAGUGGCACGGUUUUCUUUUUUCUACAUCCUGCACACGAGCAUAGCUCUUGCUUUUUAUAUAUAUUGACACAACCAUUAUAUUUUAACUUGUACGAAGCUCGCUUAGCCCAAGCGAUGUGAUACAUCUAGUCAAUAAAUCAUUAUUUUCUAGUUUUA